AAAUGAAACUGUCUAAAAUUACACAGGUGUGCAAGUGUGCUAACUUGAACAUGUUUCAAUAGAAUCGGUAACAUGUUUAAGACCUUCCGUAAAAAUAUCACAUUUAAUCAACACUGAAUGUAUUUUGUACAAACCAAAUGUAAUAAAAACUAAAACCUUUUUUCAUAUGUUUGAUUUGAACAAUAAAACUGGUCUUAUAUGUAUGAUUAUUGACACAAUAUAGUGCAUGUUUGGUUAAAUUGUGUAGACAGGGUACCUAACAGUUUUUCUUAUUUAUUUUAUAUUAAGCAAAAUGUUUCCAAGAUUGUCUAAGUAUUAUGCAAAUCCAUGGAAAUAAUUUGUUACAUUUAUUACAAUUAAUAUUUAUUAUUAUACCCAAGUAUUACGAACAAAAGCUAAAAAAUUUAAGAAUUUAUUAUAAUAGUACUGAGGUAUAAUUUAUUUGUUAGUUACCUAUUUAUUGUUGAACAAGUUUUUUUUAAUAAUAUUGCGAAAAAUAUGUUUGCUUUUUUUCAAUGCGCCUAUAGGACUGACCAUAGGAUAUAUAAAAAUAAAUAAUGAUUUAUAAUAAUAAUAUACUUUUAAUUUAUUACAUA